UUGGAGGGCAAGUCUGGUGCCAGCAGCCGCGGUAAUUCCAGCUCCAAUAGCGUAUAUUAAAGUUGUUGCAGUUAAAAAGCUCGUAGUUGAAUUUCGGGAUUCAUCCGUUGGUCGGGCUUCACGGUCCGCACUGGUGUGAUGGGUUCCUACCUUCUGAAUAACCGGCAUGCCAUUAAUUUAGUGCGCCGGGGAAGCAGAACUAUUACCUUGAAAAAAUUAGAGUGCUUAAAGCAGGCCAGUGCCUGAAUAGGUUAGCAUGGAAUAAUAAAAUAGGACGGCAUGGUUCUAUUUUGUUGGUUUCUAGGAUCACCGUAAUGAUUAAUAGGGAUAGUUGGGGGCAUUAGUAUUCAAUUGUCAGAGGUGAAAUUCUUGGAUUUAUUGAAGACUAACUUCUGCGAAAGCAUUUGCCAAGGAUGUUUUCAUUAAUCAAGAACGAAAGUUAGGGGAUCGAAGACGAUCAGAUACCGUCGUAGUCUUAACCAUAAACUAUGCCGACUAGGGAUCGGACGAUGUUAAUCUUUUAAUGACUCGUUCGGCGCCUUACGGGAAAC
rnacentral:rRNA from 1 species